rnacentral:rRNA from 1 species
UACGUAGGGACCAAGCGUUGUUCGGAUUUACUGGGCGUAAAGGGCGCGUAGGCGGCGCGGUAAGUCACUUGUGAAAUCUCUGGGCUUAACUCAGAACGGUCAAGUGAUACUGCUGUGCUAGAGUGCGGAAGGGGCAAUCGGAAUUCUCGGUGUAGCGGUGAAAUGCGUAGAUAUCGAGAGGAACACCUGAGGUGAAGACGGGUUGCUGGGCCGACACUGACGCUGAUGCGCGAAAGCCAGGGGAGCAAACGGG